UUUUCUCUCGUUACUUCUUCUUCUUAUUUACCAACUACUAAAACGUUUUUCAUAUUUUUUGUAAAUCGCACGGUUCACACUACGAACCCUAUCGGACCAAGUCACAUCAUGAAUCACACAAUACAUCCCGAGCCAAAAGCUGAGGAUAUGUAGGCAAUUCGGCGCCAGAUGCGACCCCAUCCACUCCCUCCAUCCAUGGAGAAGGACACUUGAAUUAACUGCAAGUAUGUAAACGGCCCUAAAUGAGCAAAUGCGAAAAACAACUUAUGAGAAAAUGGGGACUAAGACUUUUGUACAAACAAAUUAAAUUUAUUGAGAAUUUUAGACCUCCUUAUUAUUGGUGGUCUCCAUUUAAAGUGGAGUUUUCUUGGCUAUAUAGUCAUCAAUGAGGUUAUAUGAUUUGUAAAUAGUUUGAAAGUAUCUGAAUAGUGAGGAAUAAGGACCGGAUGUAGAUGAAAAAGGAAGUGAUGUUUGGAAUUUUUUUUUCCCUCGCACACAUAUGUUUUUCCAUUUGGUUUUU